rnacentral:rRNA from 1 species
UACGUAGGGUGCGAGCGUUGUCCGGAAUUAUUGGGCGUAAAGAGCUCGUAGGCGGUGUGUCACGUCGGCCGUGAAAACCUGCAGCUUAACUGUGGGCGUGCGGUCGAUACGGGCAUCACUGGAGUUCGGCAGGGGAGACUGGAAUUCCUGGUGUAGCGGUGAAAUGCGCAGAUAUCAGGAGGAACACCGGUGGCGAAGGCGGGUCUCUGGGCCGAUACUGACGCUGAGGCAGCGAAAGCGUGGGGAGCGAAACGGG